CCCCAAGAGGUAGUCAAGAUUGCUAAUUUGUAAAGGCUCAAGCGAAGGAUCAGAGAGGGGUAACAAUCCAGCAUUUAUCUCAUCAAGGCUCAGAAGGGUUCCUGUUUUGCAGAAUUUACAUAACGUUGCAGCUUCAACAUACUCUUGCACCUGCAGAAGCCAAAGCUGAGCAAAUCGGCUUAUCAUUUAAUUUCAGGCCUAAAAAGGUAAAAGAAAGAAAGGUUACCCCUGGUGAGUAUGCUCGCCUUAGCUUCCAGAAAUCAGUUCCCUGUAGUUCUUUUACAAGUCGAGAUAUAUGCCAAGUUGCCACAUGCCCCAAGUCCUUCUCCGCCUUUUCCAGAACUUCCUCUUUGUUCUGUUUACUGAUUCUGUUUUAAUAAUCACACUACUAAGCCACAGUCUACGUACAUAUAAUUGUAUUCAUAAUGAGUUCUUAUCAACAACUAGACCAUGAAAAUCCAAAAUGGAAACAAGUGAAAGACUAAAUAGAUUGAUGUGCUCAACAGUUCAAGACUGCCAAAAGUCGAAAACAGAAAAAACCAAAUCAAUAACAUACACAACAAAGUGAAAAAUAAAGUACUAAGAACACGUAGAUAUUAACUGAGUGGCAAGAUCCCAAUUCCUACCUGUGUACUUGAAAAAUGACCUUUUUGCUGUUCAUUGUAAUAUCACGGCUUGCUUUCACCACUCUUUCUCGCUUAUCAUUCUGCAUAUUUAACCAACCAAAAAGGUAGGGAAAAAGGGUUUCAAAUUGAAGCAAACUCAAGCAUUAUAGCGAACUAUUCUACCCAUAAACCUAUAACUAAUCAUCCAGAAGAGCUCUUGAUAAUGAAUAGCCAACUAAUGGGCUCAACUUAACCAUAUACAUUGCAUUUCAAUGGCAGCAAUUGAAGCCAAACAAGCUAGUAAUCUCACAACGGAAACAAACUAAAGAAACCCACAACGAUAACAACAACAACAGACACUAAAUUCUCAAAUCAAUCCCCAAAUCGUCGGAGCUAAAAAGAAAUGAAGUAACACCAAGAUAGUAUACGGUUCAUUGGCGCAUCCAUUGGCGCAUCCUUACACAAGAACUAUAAAGAAAAUGAUGAACUUACAAGGUUAUUGAGGUAUUCAGCAUAUUUAGCGAAGGCGUCUUUCAUGGAGGAUUGGGUGGAUAAUAUCCUCGCCCUUUUCACUGAGCUCUGCACUGCUGUCUCUGCAACUGCCCACAAUUUGAAAUUGUGACAAAAACCCAGAAGAAUAAAACUAAAAUCGAAUUGAAAAUUUCAAUUUUAUAAACCCUAAUUCACAGAGAGAGAAAUUACUUGUGUGGAGUAACUGGGGUUUGGGUUUGGAAGCCAUGAGGGCGGCCUUGUGAAAUCCCGUAGUAUUGAACAUCUGUCCCUAUGGGACACCGCACUUACAAUUCCGCCAUAGAUACAUUUGAAUUUACUAUUAAGUUUGGAAAUUUUACUUUUUAUGGUUACUAAAUUUUACUUUUAACUUUAAUUUCUUUUACACUUCAAACCUUCAACAACAAAUAAUAAAAAACUAUCUAUGUUUAGUAAAUGGUCCACUCUUUUUUUUUUUUUUUUGAAAAAUGGUCUACUCAACCGUGUUCAAGCCAGAUGGAUGUCAAUUAAUGUGUUUCAAGCAUCUUAGAUUGCUCUGUUUCGAUAUAGAUCAUGCAAGGAGUUAACGAAAUACUUAAUGCCUUUAUCACAACAUAAGAAUAAAAUAAAAAAUAUACUAAAGAAUGGGGAAUUAAUCUCAGCUCAGUAUGGGUGAAUGCUAGUUUCAAUGACCUUACAAAUAACUUCAAAUAGAAAUGAAGAGAUGGUUCUUCUCGAAAAUUAUCAAGGCUUCCCAUUAGAAUCACGCAACACAACUCCAACACCCAAAUCUCCAAUAGACAUCAUAAUUGAGAGAACUAAAAGAUUUUUGAGAAAUUUUUCCCACGAACAAAAUAUUGUUUUCGCAAUUAAAGGAUUUCACCAUAAAUGAUUUUCUCAUAGAAUCUAUUGUCUCUCUCACUUGUUAUCUACUCCUCGCUACCGAUGGGUGACUAUAACACUAUCUCAUCAUCUAACUCUCGAUUAAAUGAAACAACAUACACAACUAAAACUGACAAAAAAAAAAGGAUAUUUACGUAAUUAGAUAGCUAUAUACUUGAUGUGGAAAAAUGUACUGAAUAGUUCAAGAGCCAUUAAAUUAGAGUGUGAAAGUUUCAAGAAUUUGAGCUCUUUGGGGGUGAGGUUUUUGAAGUUUGCUUAAACAUCCUUAAAAUUGUUUUGGGUUUGCUAGUUUUUUUUGUUAUACUAUACGUUCAUACAACCACCAUUAAGGAUCAUAAAAAGGUCACCUCAUACAAACAUAAUACACAUAGCGAGAAAUGAACACAAGUAGAAGAGAUCAAAGCAGGUUUUGGAGUCACCGAAGGUGUGAAUCAUUAACAAAGAUCAAGCCCCAAGGGUCACAUGUUUUCUUCGAAGAGUUGUUAUGGUAAUUUCACUGAAAAAAGGGAUCAUUCAUGCAAAAAUUUGAAAGAUAUGGACCAAAUUGUAUAUAGAUAUAGCUAAAGAAGAUUCAUACGACGCCGAGUUAGAAAGUUACAAGUGGCAAUCGGAGACAAAGCCAAACAAUGUGGGAAACGGGCUGCCGUUGCCACAGUGACCGCUGCCAAAGCAAAAUUGGAAAGGAGCCGCCGGAAAAACCCCAACACCUGCAGACGAACGUCAAAAUUCUAUUGGCUGAUCCGCCCAUAGAAAUAGAAAUUCGAUUCCCAGCCUUAAAACCUCCACUAAUUUGCAUUACCCAUCUCUUUCUCCAACAUUCAAUUCACAGAAACAGGACCAACAAUGGUGACGCUAGUGGUAGCAACUACAUUCGAUCCAGCAUCCAUUAAUCCUGCAAACGAGCUCCUCGCCAUGCCCGGAUGGAGCCCCGGCCCUCCUCUUCAGGUCCUUUGAUCUCUUCCAUCUAUUUCCAAUUUGAACCGUUUCUGUUACUUCCUUUGAUUAAUCUGAUUCUUCUGUUCAUCAGGAAAUGAAAAGCUUCGCCAAUCGAAACGUGAGGCUGCUGCAACACGACAGGAGUAUUGUGGUUGAAGAUGAUCUCGAUAAUCGUUGGGAGGAACUCACCGGCGAGGUCGUGGACGAGGUCAUUUUCUUUAGUCGGCAUACUGCUGUUUCAAAUCGUCCUGCACUCACAGUUCAUCCGAUUGGUACGAUUCCUCUGUUUCUUAGUCCGUUUGGUUAAUGAAUGGGAACGUUAAUUUCAGUUGUGAAUUUUUGUGUUCGUAAAGGGGUUCCUCAUUUGCGAGAUGGAGAAGUUCCGCCGCAAGGAGGGAAGCCUGGAUGGGCGGCGCCGCCGAGCCCUCGUAUAGGUCCCUGGUUGAGGCUCUUGAAAACGAUUGCACAAUCCCACAACUUAGUGCCAGAGUUCGAGGUUAACCAUAUUUCUCUUUUGUUUCUUUUAUAGUUCGUCAUUUACUGAGCAUUGGGUCAUGUGGGUUUUUGAAGUUUUAACUUAUUUAGAAACUGAAUAGAUUACGUUGGAGGGUACUCAUCAUGGACCUGUGACAAAUAAACCAACUCUGUUUCUGGAAAUUGGUGAGUGUUUUGUUUGAUUGUAUGUGUGCACAAUGAAAAUAUGGGAUUUCAGAGCUUGGUUUGUUGUUCGUUCUACUAUUUAUUGUAUCUUUCUGGAUUGAUUGAGAUUCACGCAAAGUACUAGAGGUUUACUUUAGUUAUUAACUAUUUUACUAUGAUUUAUUUUAGCUUGUAGAAUUUUGUAAUUGGGGAUAAAUCUAUCCUUCCAUUAUUGUCCAUUUGAAAUUUGGUUUGCUCAGGUUAACUUCACAGCUUCUUAUAUAUUGAGAAAUCUGGUAUAUGGUGCUAAAUUUGGAAUGGUAGAAUUCUUUUGGACCUUUGAAUCUUGUCUCACCUGGAUGUCUCAUCUUCUUUUCCAAUCAAAUUCGAAGGAAUUAGGGAGGUGGAAUGAGUGGCCCAAGGUUUAUUGGAUAAAUCUUAUCAAUUUAUUUACAAUGAGACCAAUACCAAAUCCGGGUAUAUAUUGAAGGGCUCACUUGGUUUAUUUGUAUAUGAAAAUUUGAGAUGCAGUAACGAAUUGUUUCUUUCUUCUGAUGGCGAACUAGAUAUCAAUUCAGGGUAUGUGAAAGUACUCACUGGAUUAUUUGCCAUGAAAUCUAAUAUUUUACAUCUGGCAAAAUUUUCUUUUUCUGAUCAAUAGGCAGUACAGACGAGUAUUGGAGGAGGCCAGAUGCUGCUCGUGUUAUUGCUCUAGUUGAGUAAUCCUAGAUAAGAAUUCAUUUCUGUAUUAGUUAUCAUCAUUUAUUGAAUGUGUCAUGACAUUGACAUUGUUCCUUAUGGAUUACCAUUUUGGAUAAUUGCAGCUUGUCUGGGAAGGACUUGCUAUUGGAGGAGGAAACGAUGUAGGAAACUGGAACAGGUAAUUGGUACAAGAACAACCAUUAGGAUUGCAGCUUAACUUCUGUUUAUUUUCUCCUAAUAUUUACCUCUAAAUUUUAAUCGGUCAUUUUAAACGAGUCUGUCUACCUGAUCUAUCGUUGAAAUUCGAUGGCUAGCCGCUACUUAGUUCUGUGACCUUUCCAACUUUAUUUAAUCAUAUGAUUGCUAUAUCUUGGUGGCUGAUGUUGCAUAGUUUCAAAAGAACAAGCUGUUGUUAAAAUUUAACUUAGAAGUCAUCCUUAACAUUACAAUCGUGUUUUUAGAAUCAAUGAUGACGUUACUGGAGCUAGUUUUUUCUCUUUAUAUUCAUUACAUUUCUCACCGAUGUGCUGGUCUGCAUUAUUCAAAAUAAUGUGUAAGCCCACACAUUGAAGAGGUGGCUAUACAUGAGUUGUGUCCUACGCAUAACUCUUUAAGUUUUUAAGUGCUUAGAGUCGCUAUCAAGUAUCAACAGCUUCCUAAUUUCCUUGACUUGAAGAUAUUCUUCGCAUCAUAAUACCAUUUCCUCGCCCUUAGGUUGUUCUUUUUUGUUAAAUGGAUAAACUUGUUUCUUAUCAAAAAGAAAUAAUACCAUUUCCUCAAUGAGAUUAUCUUUUCUUCUAAACGCCUAUGUGUUAUAAUCUAAUCUUAUAUUCUCAUUGUGAGGCAGGGAACAUAACAAGAACAAUAAAGUCCUUCUUGGCAUCGGGGGUGGACAUUAUGCACCUCGCCACAUGGACAUAGUUUUGUAAGUAUCAGCCGGUCAGGCUAUCCUUAAGUUCAUGUGAUCAUUUCCUAAGCCUUGUCGAUUCUUAUACUUGAUUCUCAUUUCAUUUUAGUUCUUGUAUUUUCAAAUACCCAAUAUUUUCAAAUAUCUAAUUUUCUUUGCGUACUUUCAAUAAAUCUUCCAAUUGGUAUUUAUUGUCAGUUUAAAGUUAGUUUUGAUCAUAGUUAUGAUACUAAUUUCCAUCCUAGAAAAAACGCAAGGAAUAUGUUCCGAAAAUUUAUAGAAAGAUGGCUAUUAAUGACAUUCUUUUAAAGUUCAAAAUUAACAUUUAUAAGUAGAUAGGCUAAAAUGAAAUGAGCCUUGAAGUACAGGGUUAGGGAACUUAUUAUAUGCUAGUAAUUAGCUUUGCCCUUUUUUCUAUGCACAGUUUUAUGUUGAUCUUUUUUUGGAUAAGAAACCUGUAUAUUCAUGGAACAAGAAAGAACAACCUAAAGACAAGGGACAAGACUCAAGGGUGUCCUUUCCAACAGAAACUAAAGAAUAAUGACUUUUCAAUUGUUGAAAAUCAUAAAAAGGCUGUAAUUACAAAAGUGUCCGGUGUAAUUCGUACUUCACCAAGAAACUGUGUGUUGCAACACAGUCCAAAAAGAAUCAAAAGAAUUAUAGUUGCGUUAAAAAAUUCUACUAUUCCUUUCUUUUCAAAUGCACCACAAAAGGGGCUGGGUAGCAGAUCUCCACGAGAUGUUUCCUUUCAGAUUAUAACCUCUAACGUUGAGCGCUUCCAGCAUCCAACUAUCAAUCUUACUAGGAAGACAAAGCUCCAAAUACAAAAUUCUAAACAAAGUGUUCCAAGCUUUUCUAGUAAAUAAACAAUGCAAAAAUAAGUGGUCUAGGGUCUCUCUUCUUUGAAACAAAGGCAGCACAUCAAGGGGCUGAGCAUAGUGUGCUGGAGUUUUUUUUUGGAGUUUCUCGUGAGUGUUAAGAUUUCUAUAGGCGAGCAACUAUAGGAAGAAUUUCACCUUUUUCAGAAUUUUAGUCUUCCAUAUGUGGCGAAUCAAGGGAACAAUGGAGGGGGAUCUUGGUUAAAUUAGAAAAAGUAGACUUAGUCGUAAAGCUGUCGGAACUUAUUGUGGUCUUAAACAGUUUUAUGGUGGUCUUAAAUGCAGCCUGCUUGCAAUUAUGACAGUGAUAGAGUUUUUACACAUUAAAACUGUCGGAACUUAUUGUGGUUUUCUCCUUAACCUUUAGCUCCUUAGAUAACUAUAUGGUUACAAAUACAAAUUGUCAUCUUCCAUGGUUUUAGUUUGCUUAAAGUAGAGUUUGAAAAUUGAACCACUUAGCUCCUUUGAUAACUAUUUGGUUUUUGAAAAAAAAUUAUAAAUGCUAAUUCUACCUAAGAAUUUUAUUUGUUUUAGCAUCUACUUUCUAAAAACAUAUUUGUUUUAUCAUCUACUUUCUAAAAACAUUUUCAAAAUCUAAGCAAAGUUUUGAAAACUAAAAAAAUUUAGUUUUUGUUUUUUUCUUUUAAGGUGAUGAAAGAUAGCAAACAAAUUGUGUGGAAAGAAGCAUAAAUUUCAACAACAGAAAAUUAAAAAUGAAGUCGAAACCAUUAUCGAAUGUACCUAGGCCAUAACACAUUCAGUUUCAAAGCUAGUGCAUGUUAAGUGGAAUUAUAUGCACUUUGAAGGAAGUAGCCUUGUUCUCAGUUCUCAUACUUCAUCUGUUACUUCCUGUACGCAGCCACUUUUUUAUUAUGCUUUUUUAUAACUGAACAAGAAAGAGGGGAAAUUUCCCGAGUCUUCAUUCAAAGGGAAUGGAUAUAUUAUGAUUUCUAUGUUCAAAUGGUUUUUUUCUUUCAAUACUUCCAGAAAAGAUGGAGUUUGGGUAAGCCACUUGCUCUCAGGAUAUUCAUUGCCAAUGGAAGAUCCAAACCAGUCAAAUGGCGGAACAAACAACAAAGAUAUUGGCGGGAGCUGGAAAGAAGCAAUCAAAGCAGCAUAUGAGGCUACUAAAUUGGCUUUCCCAGGUGGAGAGAUCAUAGCACACCUUGAUCACAAGUAAGUUCAAUCCAUUUCAUAAACUCGAAUGUAUGGCUUUCCGGGCAUCUGAACUCUGUCUUUGAGGUUGAUAAGCCAUGAAAUCAUAAUUGUUUGAAUUGCAGGAGUUUCAAGGGCUGGCAGAAGAAUGCCAUAACAGGGUUCUUGGGUGAACAGGGCAUUAAAAUUGGCAAACCAAAUGACUUUUACUGAUUAUUAUUCGUCUGAAGAACAUCAUCUAGAUUUACUUUAAGUCUUCAGUUGAUUAGUUCAUAGAGUUAUUGAAAGGAGUUAUUUAUAUCAUCAUAUAUUAUUAAGCAUUCAACAUGUCACUUUAUCAUCUUGUUCUUCCUUGCUUGAAUAGGAAAGGUUGAAGAUUAUUCAGAAUGAUCUCCAAGGUAUGAAAAUGGACUUUAUUUUCGUUUUGUCAUUACUGCCAAAGGGUAUAUGAAGUUUUCAAGAAAGACUUUCUUUAAUGUCCAAAAAUAUUUUCCACUAAUUAAAAUCACUUUAAAACUUUAAUGUCAUUGGGUCGCAUAGUCAAUAUAUUAUAGGUUUUUUAAAAGGUAAUAGUUAAUAAAGGUUAAAUAAAUCUAACGUAGAGUAGAAAAAAACAUUAUGAAUGGAAAAUAUAUGGUUUCGUUUUCAUUUGAAUUCUGUUUUUCUAAGAUCCAUCCCGAGAAAAUAAGCUUAGUUUCUCAAAAAAGAAAAAAAAAACCAAAUAGCCUUAAAAACAUUCCAUAGAGAUUAUAUAUAAAAGUAACAAAAUGGAUAUCAAACCAAACUCAAAUACAACAUAAACUAAACUAAGAUGGUAUUAAAAACAUGAUUCAAUCAUCUUUUUCAGGAGUUGGGUUUUCAAUAUUGAUGCAACAUUGAAUUCACAAUUAAAUGUUAUUGAAAUAAUAAUAUUUAAGGCAGUUGAGACAUCCUUUUCCAUUACAAUUAAAUUCAAAACCAUAGGCCAUAAAAUGGGUACCUAAAAAAAAGGUAUUUUUAGGUAUCUAAAAUUGGGUAGGAGUGGUCACAAUAUCAUUUUCCCCUAAAGUUUUUAUACCAAAAAUUUGAAGCAAGGGCAGACAAACCCCUUUAAAAUUAAGGGGCAAACCCCCAAUUGGACCCUCAACUUGCCAAUUGGAACAUUGAUGCAUGAAAGGGCCAAAUCCUUGUUCCUCAAAACAAAUCUUUUCCUUGUCCUUAGAGGUUUUCUUUAUCAUUUAUUUGGAGUCAAUCCCCCUUUUGCUUUAAAUAUUACAUCAUAAAUACCAAAUCCAUGCAAACUUAAUUAUGACAUAACCAAAGUGUUCAAUAUCUUAAAAUAUCAUUUAGUCUUCAACUUCCCUCAGUACGAUGUCGUUUAAAACACUCGUUCAAAACCUAGUGUGCAUGUGAAUCUUGAGGAUAUGCAAUUGUGUUUAGUAAAAACUUUAAAAAAUUGUUAGUUACCUCAUUUAACCAUAAGAGACAUAUUUAUUUAUGGUCAAAUCAAGUAUAAAUAAUUUCAUUGACAUACUAAUGUGUUUACUGUGGUUCAAAUCAUUUGUAUUCAAAGAAAAAAAAAAUACAUCAUUCUAUUUAGUCUUGAUCAUAAAAAGUUUUUGAAUCAUGGUCUUAGGAUCUUAUGUUGAGCUUUCAAGAUGCUUUCUUAUUUAAUAAGCUUUUCUUUUUUUCAAAAACAAAUCCACGGAUUCAAGAUAAAAGUUAUUAUCUAAUUAAACAUACAAGUGAAUAAAUUUCAUAAGGCCUAUGAUUGGGGUGUACUAAAAAUUCAAAAUUACCUAAAAUAAAAUACAAUUAUUUUGUGUAUCUAUCAAAUUUAUUUUAUUUACUUUCCCACCAAUAUAUUUGGCUUUUUAUUUGUGGAAUUUGGUAAACAAGAGUGACAGCUAUUAAGCAUUUACAAUCAAAUAAAAUAAAACUCAAUCUUCUAUAGACACAAAUGAAGAUUAUUGAACUAACAGUUUUUCCGAUUAAUAAUAUUUUAAAUUGACACAUGAAAUGCUUCCUUUGACUAUAAUUAUUAAUAAAUGCAUACAAAAUCAACCAUUAACCCAUAAAAAAAAAAACGAGGUUCCACUCACCUUCGAUUCGACAAAAUAUUUAUAAAUACAAAACAACGUCAUAAAGUUAGAAAGUAUAUAUGUAUCAUUUUAACGCAAUAUUUAUUUGUGUAUAUAGUUUUUUUAAUGAAAAGAGAACUUUAGCGGUGUGUAUUAUAAGUUAAAUUUGAUGUCAACAUCAUUGGAUUGGACUAAAGUAGUUUUGAUGCUACAAGCUACUAAAAACCUUAGGGUCUAAUUCAUCAAAUUUUAAACUUUAACAUUUCACAUCAAAGCUAAAAACUUGGAUUGUUGUUUUACAAGUAUAAAUAUUCAUAUUUAUAUGAGUGCCUGUCCAAAUAUAACCUAGAGAAUGUGUGUUUUUCAAUUCAAUCUUUUUUCAUACAUACAUACAUGCAUACAAUAAUAAUGUUAUAUUGAAAUUGCAAGUCUAAAUGGAUAAUAAUGAUUUAUUAGUAUUCUCCCAACAUUUACAAAAGAAUUGGAAAAGUGACCUCCAAAUUUGUAUAGUUUAUUAUUAAUAUUUUACAAAACGUAUUUGAUCUUAUAGAAAGAGAACAUAAAUGCAAAAUUUCCCCCAAAUCAAAUCAAUUGUAUUCAAACUUAUGUUUUGAAAUAAUUAACCAAUCAUAAUCAAAAUUGUCAAUUCUCUAUCUCUCUCUAUUUUAAUUUUUGUUUUUCAUUUCCAUUAACUAUUACAUAUAUUUUUCUUUUCUUAGUUCCUAAAUCGUAUUAAACCCAUUUACUUUCAAUUGCAACCACUCAUUCAUAUAAUUAGAGAGUUAUCAACGGCUAUAAAUUAAUAGAAAAAUGAUGAGUUUCCGGAGCCCACAGCAUUAGGUCAGCAUACGUCACAUUAAAGUUUCCAUCUACUCUGAGUGCCUUUCAGACACGUGUGAACCAGAUUGAACUACCUGAUGCCACGUGGCGUAUCGGUAAUUAUAAAUGCCACCCAGUUAAAUUAUUUAAUAAAUUUUACUGCAAGAUUGAUAGAAAUUGAUAAAUAUUUUAGUAUGAUGGAGAUGUGGUUAUUUGAUGAUAGAAAAGGAGAAAAUGAAAAUUAGAAAAGAAGAAAGGGGAGAAGGAAAAUGGAAAACGGAAAAGAUGAUGAAAGGGCCGUAGAAUCGAGAGUUCAUGCAUGGGUAGGCAACACCGUUGGGAAUCAGAUCCCUCUUUUGAUUAAUUGAUGAUAUAAUGUAAUAAAAAAAAGAAAAGAAGGUCAAAAUUGCGGGAUUGAUGAAUCUAUAGCAUGUGGACCCACUCGGCUUAAUUAAAAUAGAAAAAAGAAAGAAAAUCAUAUUAAUAUACAUUUGGCACCAAAACCAUGGAUUCUGAACCUUACUGCACCGCCGUUAACAAAUCGCUCAACUUCCUGUAGUUCCCGGCGACUUUCAAUUAUCCGGUGAAAGACCUUCACCAAAUUUCCCUUUCCCACACAAAUCCAGGCUGUACUGCAAUUAGUAUUUGAUUUGUUAAACAACUCAACAAUUCCUGAAGAAAUCCAAGUGACUGAUGAGAAUUUGACAAUUACAAAGCUUCUUUCAAUUACGAUACAAGUCACAUAAAGGUCGGAGAUCAAUAUUUGACGUUUUUUCGAUUUGUUUCUGCUCCGGUGAUCGGCGACCCGGCAUAAGGCGGUGUUUCGAGGAGAGAAUCCGGUGAAGAAGGAGGAGGAGCAGCAGAUGUUUGUUUUGGUAAGUAAUUUGAAGUUAGGUUUAGGGUAAGCGAAAGGUAUAUUAAUUAGGGAGCGGAGUCUGGUAAGGCCAUUUGUUUGUCUCUUCCUUUAUUAAUUGCAAUGAAAGAGAGAGAGAGAGAGAAGGACGUUCUGUAUAAUCUGCCAUGGCAGGUGACCUUUUUUUAGGCUGAUAACAGAAAUAGCCAAGCUCUCUCUGACUCUGUUCCACCAUUUAUUCAAAUUUCACUCUCUUUUUCUCUCUGUUCCAUAAAUUCAAUCACCAAACUAGGGCGCUCCUUUGCCCCAUUUUUUCACUCUUCCUUUUAAUACUAUCAGGGGGUUUCUGCCUCAGCACAUUUCUGCUUCAGGGUUUUACAUGGAGGUUGAUACUUUUUGUUUUUUCAUAAUUUCUUCUUUAACUCUGUGUAUUAUAUUCUUGUUUGAAUAUUUGACUUCCCUGUCUGUUCAUGUUUCUUUUUCUCAUUCUCUGAUGUUUUGAAUUCUUUCUGUUAGUGUACUUUUUUUUUCCUCCAUUAACAGCGAGGUGGAGGAUGGGGGUUGAUUUUGUUUCAUCAUUAGUUGAAGAUAAAGGAGAAUUGGUGGGGGAAUUUUCUUUGUUUGAAUAAUCAUUUUAAGUUAUGAUGUUUCUGUUGAAAGUUUUUGUUUGCUUUUGAAAAGUUCUUCCAACUUUUUUUACCACUCGUCUUUUUCUAUUUUUAUUAUUAUUUUUGAGUAUUGGUAACAGGGCUUUGGAUUCCCAGCACGUAUAGCCCAGAGAACUUUUUUUUAUUUUUAUUUUGAACCAAGUUAUCGUGUAACAAUGACUUUGAUCUGAUUUUCUUGAUUUACUCAAGCGUUCUGUGCUGAGAUUAUUGUUAAUUUUCAUUGAAAUGUCACUGCCUUUUAUGGUAAAUUGCUAACAUUAGUUAGCUGAUUCUCUGUAGUUCUUAAAUGAGUGAUUCUGGAGGGUCCGGACCUUGGCACCUGCUCAAUCACCUAGGAGCUGACAAUGCUAUUCAUUGUAUGUAACUGUUAUAAUAGUUGGGAAGGGAGGGGGGUCUUCUUUUGGCUUUUGGCUUUUGCCAGUUUGAACUCAAACUUUUCUCUUUAUUAUCAUUAAAAUAGAUUUGCUUGUUCUGCUUCAGAAUAAUUGAUAUAAUUACAAUAUCUGAGGGGAAUAUAUAGGAAUUGCUAAUGGAGUAAUGGGUCACAGUCACAGAUUAUGAUCCAUUUCUUGGAAUGACUUUUUUCCUUCACUCUGUUAUAACAUCAAAGUGGCAAUGAAGAAGUUGUGUUUGAUUUCCAAUCUUAUAGUGGACUGCAAAGUUUUAUAUUUGUCUCUUCCUUUUAAGCUCAGUUUUUUUUCUUCUUCGUUCGUCCAUUCAUAGAAGUUUAGAAAGUUGUUGAAUUUCUGUUUCAAUAAAUUCAUGUUUUUUGGCAGGUUCAUGCUAUCUUUCAUGAAGGUUUGAAUCUCUUGAAGGUCCUUUUGCCUCCAUGAUUUGUUAGCUAUGAAACUGGGUAUUAACAUUUUCCAUUGCCUUGUAUUCUACUUGAUCUUUAUCAUUUUGGUGCUACUUACACUCAUCAAUCCACCGCUUUUUCAAUUUGUUGUCCUAACUUGGAUUUGUGAUUAUGUAUAUGCAGACAGUGACUCUUCAUUUUACCAUUCAAUGACCAGCCCGAACGAUGCUCCAGAAUCUCUCGAAUGCAAUUACAGCAGUACUGUGUUGCAACACCGGGUCAUGACUAAUAAUCCAACUGGCCUCUCAUUUCAACAGAAGAUAAACCAGGAAAAUGUUGUUCAAUCUUCACAUUCUUCUUGUGAUGGGAAUAGUUGCAUGAUUACUAAGAUUAACCGGUCGUCUACAGAUGUUUUUGAUGAUAAUAAUGCUGAAGGUAUUAGUGCAUUUGGGGCAUCAUCCAAUAUGAAACCCUCAUUCUCAUAUGUUGACAAAAGUGUCAUGGAAUGUCAAAUGUCAAAAACGAUAGUCUGUGACCAAGAAGUUAAUGUCAAUGAUGUGAAGGAUAUUUGCAUCGAUGAUGGGGUGGCUUCUCUGGAAAAUUUCUUCUUUAAGAGUACGGCCGAGAAGUCAAUCAGUAAAAUCUCCCCUCUGGAGGAAGACCGGAACGAAGGAUCUAUAAAAGAAAAAGAGACUUCUUCUGAGGUGUCCAAGUUCAUAGCAGAUGAUCGUAAAGUUUCUUUAGAAGAUCACUUUGCCAUGGACUGGACUACUCAUAAUGAUGCGAAGGACUUGACACAGAUAGAGGAAGAAAAACUCAAUCUGAGCGAGCCAGAGCUUUUGAUGCAAAAGCUUGUUAAAAGAAGUUACUCUUCCGAGUCUUUAGAUAAAAUAGGUCUGCAGGUAUGCAUAUUUCUGGCCAAAUUAUUAAUCAUGUUCUGUCGUACACUACAUGUUUGUUCUAUUUUUAAUCUGAAUAUAUUGAAGGAUGCUCGUUUUGACAAAACAAUUUUAGCUCCAGUGGUCAUGUUUGAUGUGGAUUGCAUUUCUUUUAACUUCAGAUAUCUGGUGAAAAAACAAAUUUGGAAGACCCUUCUUCAGCUUCCAAAUCUGUUGAUUCUUGCAACGACACUCCUGCUUUGGACUCUGCAGCAGAACCACCCAAGGAUAACAUCCCAGCGCAUCCUUCAGGUUAUAAUGAUGAAUUUGAGAAUGGAAGUAUUGCACUUACUUUCAAUUCGAUAUCUCCAGUGGCAAAUGGUGGAGAAGAACGUCAGGAGUGUUGUGGAAGAAGUGAUUCUGUAAUUGGAACUCAAGUUUUAACCAAUCUGGAAUAUAGAACUUCAGAUAGUAGACUACUUUCAAGUCAAAACAUGCACGACAUUGGCGAGUCUAGUUUCUCUGCCGUAGAUCCACUAGCUAGUCUUGUUACUUACUCAGGGCCAGUAGCUUAUUCUGGAAGCAUCUCGCUUCGAUCAGAAAGUAGCACAACUAGCACACGUUCUUUUGCCUUCCCUAUGUAAGUCGCAAUCUAACUUCACCUCUCAAGCUUCAUCUUUAUAUAUCCCUUUCUUAAUUGUAAUCUAAGGUAAAUUGUAUUUACUCUCUGGGUUUACAGAUUACAGUCCGAAUGGAAUAGUAGCCCGGUUAAAAUGGUAAAAGCUGAACGAAGGCAUUACCGAAAGUAUCGAGGUUGGAGGGAGGGACUUCUAUGCUGCAAAUUCUAACUGGUUCUGUGCUAUUUCUAGAGUUAGACUCUGUUUGUGCAUCAUCCAAAUUUAUUUUCACACACAUGUAAGUAGAUGUAUUAUUUCCUGGAGGUUAUGCAUUUCAUUCAUAGUCAUUCUUUACAGUUUGGCCUAUUAUGUGAAAUUUAAUGUAUUUGUAAUACUUCAUAUCUCUCUUUUCUCUGGAAAAUUUCUCCAGUGGACCAUAUUUCUCCAUUAUACAAGGAUGGCAAAGCAUGAAAUGGUUGCUCUGUUUAUAGUGAUUUUAUGGCCAUGAUAUUGGAUAGAAGUUUUCUUGUUUUUUUCUUAAGACUUGGAUGAGUUCUCUAAGAAUCCCACUUCUAUAUUUAUAAACUGUACAGUCUUAAUGGAACCUUAACUUACCAGAUUAGCGAUAAGAGGUGAUUGUUGAGUUGAAUUGAAUUGAAUAUUGUUCGCAAGCUAAGAUUGAAAGAUUGAAGCAUAGCUACUGUCUGGGAGAAAGUCAAAAGUAGUAUACAUCAGGACUAGAAAACCCAAAACCACUCUUCAGAUCAGUAUUUCCCCCACCCCCCCCCCCCCCCCCCCCCCCCUUUUUAGGACAUAUCAAAGUCAAUUGAAAAAAGAAAAAAGAAAAAGCAAACUAAAUCCUGAUUUAAAGAAUUAAAUCAAACAGAAGCCGACUAUUUCAUUAAGCAUGGUUUGUUUCUUUUUUGGUUAUUUGUCUAAAAUUUUCAAAGUAGAGGCUGAAUUUGAAGUAGAAGAAGAAAAAGAGAGAAAAAGAAAGAGAAGGUGUAUGCUGCAAGGGGGUUGAGUUUGAAAGAGGAAAAUGAUGGAGUGAUAGGACAAGACUGAGAAAUGGAAGAAAGUGAUUUGAGAGAGGGAAAAUGGAAGAUAAGUGGUGAAAGCAGUUUUGAGAAAGUGAAAGGUGCCAAUGAAAAUGAUAGAGAGAUGAAAUCUAAAAAGUAGAGAUCAAAAGAACAGAGUGACAGAGAGAGAAAAUGUUAGGAGAGUGGUUAAGAAGAAAUUAGUUUUAAAGGUUGAAUUUUUAAAUAUGUUACCUUCUGUUUAUGAGUUCCUCUAUGUACAAAUGUUUGAAUUCUUCUUGCUAAUCACUAGUAGCUCCCAAUUACUUUUUUCAGGAAUCUCUUUUUCUUUUUCAUCACUGUUCUUCUUUUAAAACAAAAUGAAUAAACAUGUAACAAUGAUGAAAUGUAUAGAAUCAAUGCAAUAUCAUUGUGACAAGAAAUAAAGCUACCUUGGUGUCAUCAUUUGUUGAGAAAGCCCUAUAAAGUUUAAGUUGGUUGGCUUUUUUAAAUUUCCAUUGUACCACUAUGUAAUUACAUGUUAAUCUAGGAUUUGUGUCUAUUCUCUUCCCACCAUCAUUUUGCAAUCAAAUCAAAAUUUUCUUGUGAUCAUAUAAAUGUCAUUUGACAUUUGAGGUGAGGGAUAUCAUAUAACAUUCCUAUCAGGUAUAUGUUGUUCUUCAACAAGGCAUUGCUGAGAGGUGUUUGUCUCUAUUAACUUCCAUCUUUUCAAGCACAUCAACUCAAACAAAGUAGCAUAUAUCAUAUGUCUACUAUCUUAAACUACUUCUAGAACUCUUACUCUAUGUUUCGGCCUAUAGAAGUUGCAAAGUAGAGUUAUGAAUUUCACUUCUUGUUUGGCUUCCGACGAGUUUGUGGGCUCUUGGACUAAAAACAUCAAUCUAGUGCCUCAUUUAACUUCUUACACUAUGAUCCAUGAAGUUCACAAUUUCACUACUUUUGCGUUGAACAACUUCUUAUAUAGAAUCACAUUUCUUCUAUGAAACAAUGCCUUUUAUCAUUCAUUUGAUAAGAAGCCCUACUCAUAUUUCACUAUAUGUUUGUGAAAGUUGUUUCAAACGUCAAAGUCAUUUCAUUUGUUGGUAUGAGAACACUCGAAUGAUUGGCAUGAAAAUACGACAUUGUUACACGAUGGGGUGUUGUUGGUGUGAUAAAACAUUGUUGACAUAAAUAGGCAUGAAUUACCCUACUGAGUUUUGGUUCUAAAUCAAUUAGAUUUUGGUUCUAAAUCAAUUAGAUUUCAAAGAUUGGGUUAGGCACAUUGUAUUAUAAUAAAACCUCUAGAACCUCUAGAGAUAGAGAACAAAUUUCCUUGUUCAUAAUUUAAACACAACAUAAGAUAAAAGAAUUUCGAACAAAAGUUACCGUUACCUUUUUAGCCCUUAAGUUUUAAUAUAAAUAAGCAUUUGGUCUCUUAGUUUUAAAAAUAUACCUUUUUACAAAAGAAAAAAAUUUAAUUCAUCCUUAAAAAAUAUAAUUAUCGAGUCCUAAGCUGACUCAAUUCUCAAUUCUCACUCAAUUUACAAUAAGGAGCUGUUAUUAAAUAAAAUGCAAACUUUCCAUGUUAGAUAUAACAAUAGAAGAGAAAAAGAAAAAAGAAAAUUGCAUGGUGGAUGAUGCAAACACUUGAGAAAAGUGAAAACUUAUUUUAUUUUUUUAUGUUAGAGAAAUGACAAAACAUAACCAACCCAAAUGGUGUGAAAGUCCAAAAAGAAAAGAAAGGUUUAUUUUUGCUUUCUUUGCUUUCUUUUUCUUACAUCUUUGUGAAGUCUAUUUUGUAUUAUUGCCUUUGUCUUUACAAAUAUAUAUAUCCAAAGAAAAGAAUACAACUCUCUAAUACCAAGAGAUGGCUGUUUUAGCCAUAACUUUGCUAUGUCUCAUACUCUCCAAUAAUCUACUGAUGCAGUCUCAGUCAUCGCUCCACCCCCCAGGUUCGUUAUUAUUUAAUUUAUUCCUUUUUCCAAGUUUUCAAGUUAGAUUAUCAUUUAGGAUCUGUUUAGUUUGUAUUAUAAUAACUCAAAAACAAAGAGAUUUAACAAUACAUUGUUCUUCCAAUUUCUAUCUUUUUCAAUUCUUUUCGAAUAUGUGUUUUGGUAACAUAUUUAAAAACUAAAAUAUAGUUUAGCAGUUAUAACAAUUAUUAUUUUUUAACUAAGUAUGUUAUGAAUUGAGUGAGUGAGCAAAGCAGGUGAGUUGAUGAUUAAUGUGAUUUAAAUUAUGAAAAUUGCAGGCAAUAAUAAUGAUAGUAAUGGAGAAUGGGGUAUUGAAGAUGAAGACGAUGCAUUGGAACACUUUGCAAUGGAUUAUAGCACUGUAAAACGACGUCGUCCAAUACAUAAUAUGUCUUCUCAACAGCAUCCUUAAUAGUAUUUGAAGUCUUUUGCUGAAAUUGUAUUAACAAUAUGUGUAGUUAAUGUAUAUGACUUUCGCAAACUACGGACUUCAAUUGGGCGGCCGAGGAAGUACUAUUCGCUUGGACCCAAGCCCACUCCCAAACUUCUUUAUUGCCCAUCGUUUAGGAAUAAUAAGAGAUAUUAGCACCGCUUUUUUGGGUGAUUUUGAGAAACAUUUUCUCGGAUUUUUUCUAAAAAUAAUAUAAAAUUUGAAACAUAUUUCAAAAAUAAGGUGGAUGCAAAACUAUUUUAAAAAAAAAUAGGUGUUUUGAGGUGAAGUCGUGUACGGGGUACACGACUUCCAUACAGUGGACCCCACAUAUUCUAUUUUUUUCUUAUUUUUAUAUUUAUACUACACUGGGCCCCACAUUUUUUAAUUUUCCCAUUAUUUAUAUACGUGGGUCCCACACACUUCACUUUUUCUCAUUAUUUAUAUAUACAUACUCACAUAUAAUAUAAUAUAUAUAUUAUACAUUCAAAUUCUAAAAAUAUCUUUCUUUAUUAAAUUAAUUAAUUUUUUUCUUUAUAUAUAUUUAAAUAUCACAAUCUUCAAUCUUCAAUUUUUCUUAUUAAAUUCAUUUUUCUAAUUUAAUUUAAUUCUUUUUUAAUCAAAAUUAUACAUAUAUUUUUUUUCCAAUUUUCAAUUUUUUUAAAAAAAUCUCAUAUAUUAACAAAACAUGUUAUUAAAAAUAUAUUAAACAAAUUAAAAGAGUAAUAAUAAUAAUUGAGAUAAGUUAAAAUUACUAAAAAAAAAAUAAUAAUAAUAACACUUGAAGCUACACACAUUGAUAAUUGAAUAAAAAGAAAUUCAUGUUUAUGGUAAAAGAAAAAAAACAAGAAUUGGUUCGAUUACAAAUUAAAUUUAAAAACUUAAUGGAUAAUUUUGAAUUGCAAAUUUAUUGUUAUUAUUAUUUUUAGAGUACGUUUCAACUUCUUUCAAUUACUAUUAUUAUUUUUAUUUGUUUAAUGUAUUUUUUAAUAACAUAUUUGGUUAAUAUAUGUGUUUUUUUAAACAGAAAAUUAGAAAAAGAUAUAUAUAAUUUUGGUUAAGAAAUAAUUAAAUUAAAUUAGAAAAGAUGAAUUAAUAAGAAAAUUUGAAGAUUGAGAUAUUAAAUAAAUAUAUAUAUAUAUAUAUAUAAAUUAUUAUUAUUAUUUCUAUUUUUAUUUGUUUAAUAUAUUUUUAAUAACAUAUUUGUUAAUAUAUGAGUUUUUUUAAAAAAAUUAAAAAUUGGAAAAGAAGAUAGGUGUAAUUUUGAUUAAGAAAAAUUUAAAUUCAAGUAGAAAAUGAAUUUAAUAAGAAAAAUUGAAGAUUGAAGAUUGUGAUAUUUAAAUAUAUAUAUAUAUAAAGAAAAAAUAAAAAAUUAAUUAAUUUAAUAAAGAAAUAUAUUUUUAGAAUUUGAAUGUAUAAUAUAUAUAUUAUAUUAUUUGUGAGUAUGUAUAUAUAAAUAAUGAGAAAAAGUGAAGUGUGUGGGACCCACGUAUAUAAAUAAUGAGAAAAUUGAAAAAUGUGGGGCCCAGUGUAGUAUAAUAUAAAUAAAAAUGAGGAAAAAAUAGAAUAUGUGGGGUCCACUGCAUGGAAGUCGUGUACCCCGUACACGGCUUCACCUCAAAACACCUAUUUUUUAAAAUAGUUUUGCAUUCACCCUAUUUUUGAAAUAUGUUUCAAAUUUUACAUUAUUUUUUAAAAAAAUCCCAUUUUCUCUUUAAUUUUAGCUAUUAACAUUUUUCUGACGUGCAUAACCUUUUAUAAAAUAUCAAAAUAUUCGCCUUUUCCAAUUAUAAUUAUUUCGUUUCUAUAUUGUAAUUAAAUUUGUCCUGCAUUUAGCAACUCAUAUCAUAAUUUUUUUUCUUUAAUAUCCGAUGAGUCAAAUAGCGUUCGUUUGUUGAAUCAUAAAAAUAACCAAAUUAUUAUUUUUAAUUAAAUUUUGUUGUGCUCUUUUUAUUUUAGCAACUCGCUUAUUUAUUUGUUUUUCAAUGUUUCUUACUAAAUUCUAAUUAACUUAUUCUACCAAUAUACCAUAUAAUAUAUAUAUAUAUAUAUAUAAUUAGUUCAAUACUUAGUUGGAAAUGAAUUAAAAUUAAAAAACAAUUACAUUCAUUGUAUUUAGAAUAACUUUUAAACCGGAACAUGUUAAUUUUACUUAAUAACAUUAAUUAAAUUAUAUUUUAUAUCAAUAUUGGUUUUAAAGUGUAGUUAAUGUAGUUCUUACAAUAUAUUGCGUUCUUAUGAAAAAAUCUUGUCUAUAUAACUAAUUUGUGAUAUACAUUCAUGAGUUUAUCAAAAGUCUUCUAGUACAAUUAAUUUGUGGUAUUCGACGUGUUAAUAAUGUAGAGAACCUAUCAUAACCUUUUCUAAUAUCUCGGAAUAUAAAGAUAUCAACAACUUUAAUUUUUUUAAUUUCACUAUUGUGUUAAGAUUUUAACAGUUUUAUUCAUUUUUUAUUUCAAAAUAUACUAACAUUUUCGUCAUCCUUUUUUAUUUCAAAAUAAGAUCUUAAUUUAUUUUUAAAUUUUAAAUUUUGAACUUGACAAUUAAAAUUAGUUUUUCUAUUAAGAUCUCAACAUUUUUAUUAUUAUCUGAAAAUUAAAUCAUACCCUUUUUGUUAUUUCAAAAUAAGUUGGAAUAUUUAAACACCAAAUAAUUUAAAAAUUAAAAUUAGUUUUUUUAUUAGAUCUUAACUUACUUUUUAAAAUUAAUUUUUUCAAUAAACCAGUAUAUCCACAAAAUCUCCUAAAUUUCAUAUACAUUUUAUUAAUAAAUAAUAUUAAUUUUAAAAAAAUCAGCUAAAAUCCCAUCACAUAAGUUUUGCUCGACAGAUCAGGGCCUACAUCAAAUUGAUUUAAGAGGCAAGCACGAUCAAGAUUGGAGUAGGAUUCAUGCAGAGCAUAUAGCAAUGUGGCAUUCACGAAAUAAUUUUUGUGCCGAAACAGAAGCAAUACAGAAGCCGACAGUAUCAGAUAACUACUUUUCCUGGUACAUGUCGAUUACCCGACGCUUCAUGACACAUGAUGGCGCUUACUGUUAUCGCAUGGUAAUAGUUUUUUAAUAUGAUUUAUAAAUUUAAUACAAGCAUGAACAUUUUUUAAUUAUAUUAUUUACAAUCGUUCAGAAUAAUUUUGUUGAAGACGUACGUCGAGUCUCCAUGGAAAACAAUUUUGAAAUUUUUAGACCAAUGUGUGACGAAGUCGUGGGAGAUAUAGACAGCCUUGUUCAGCGGACUCGACGUUUAAAUGUUGCCGACACAGAUCGUAGAUGCAUUCGACGGCGACGACGACGACAAGGCGAUGAUGUCGUAGAGGGAGAUGGGAAGCUUCAAGUUGUAUAAAUAAAAAAUUGAACUUUUUAAAAUUAAUUAUAAAUUAGAAGUUGCUAAUACGUGAUUUAGAUGUAGGAGUAUUCUUAAUAAUAUCAAUAUAUAAUAUAUAUUUUUUAAAAGUAGAGAACCAAGUAUUAAAAAAAAUGUUCAAAAUAUUUUUUUCUCAAUCUAUCUUAAGUCACAAGAUUUCUUUAAUAAAUUAACAAAAAUUCUUAUAAGAUAUCACUAAGGAUGUGUUUUAUCUUUGGUUUAUUUUUUUAAUUUGUUCAUAAUAAACAUAAAUUAUAAAAAAUUUGGCCAUUUAAACAAAAACUAAAAUUUUCACAUAUUUAAAGUUGAACAUUUAAACAAAAACAUAAAUUUCUAACUACCCUAAUUUUGAAAAUACUUUUUAAAAACACAUUAUUUAAAAAAAAAAAUCCGUCUUUCACAAAUGUUUUUACCCUAAAAAUAGUUAAUCUUUUAAAAUAUAAUAAUUUUAAAAACAAUUAUUUAGGAAGUCGUGUACCCCGUACACGACUUUCGUCCACGACUUCCGUCCACGUGGGUCAAACUCGUCCAUACGUGGAGCGAAGUGGUCAAAUGUGCUGACAUGUACAUUUAGGAAGUCGUAUACGGGGUACACGACUUCGUUCAAUUUCAUUUGGAAGUCAUGUACCCUCCAAUUUCAAAAAAACACCUAUUUUUUAAAAUAGUUUUGGAAACACCUUAUUCUUAUAAUUUUUUUUUCUAACAACCCUAUUUUUCAAAAUAUUUUUACAAAACACAUUAUUUUUUAAAAAAAUCCGGAAAUCAAAGAUGAAGAUAUUUAUAUUUUUCUUCUUUAAAAUGUCUAAAAGAAAAAUAGAAUGUGGAUUUGUUUGCUAAAAGAAAAAAAAAAAAAAAAAAAAAAAGUGGUUGUUAGACUGAGGUGUACCCACCAGGUAUGUUCGGGCCCUAAGAGAGCCGGCCCGUAAUCCUUCCACCGACAGAAGCGGGAGGUAACGCUGCUCUGUGAAACCAGCCUCACGCUGUAUCCUCCAUCUCUAAGGGCAAAGGACUCAAGGCCUUCGCCAAGAGCCCAAGGCCCAUCUUCGUACUUGGAAUGGGCGGUUCAGUGUAAUUCUCCAAGAAACCCUACCCGUUAGGGCUUGGCCCGCUUUCAACCACUCUAAAGCCCUCAUUUGAGUUACAAGCUCACAUUACCGAGCUCGGCGAUAG
rnacentral:lncRNA from 1 species